GGGGAGAGGAAGAUCUCAGAGCAGAACACUGCCACUCAUCAAUUUUUAAAAAGCAAGUAAUUGAAGAAAAGUAAGAAUCAGUGGCUAAAGAAACAAGAAAAAUGGAGAAGAGCACAGUCUUGGAAGCAAAAGUGGAGAAGGAGUUUGAAGGAGAGUGAACAAGUCUCAAGUACAGUGACAAUGACAUGUAAAGUGAAAACUGAAGGAGUCCAUUACUUUAUUGAACAAAGAGGUUUAAUUAUACCCUAAAAAGGCAUCAUUUUAAGCAUGUUGAGGAUGAUGGAAAUCAUUUAAAGCAGACAAGCAGAAAAAGGUCAUUCUUUGGAGAAGCAGGAAAGCAGCUCAUCUUACCUCUGUGCUGGGUGUACCCUUGGAAAACUUCCACAAUUAUUCUGGACUAAUGGAUAUUCUACCUCUCUUAAGGAAUUACAGCAGAUAUCCACCAUUUGACUUCCUGUAAGUCUCAUAAGGUUGCCACUCAAAAGACGUCACUUGCUCUCCAGUGAAAGAGCUGUACACACCACCUGAGCAAGGCCAGCGAGACCAACUCUCCCAAGAAGAUGAACUAUUGCAACUCUUUUGAGGAAAGAAACUAGGUCUUAUUCCCAGAACCUAAAACAGUGCCAAGAACAUGUUCUCAGCUGCUUCUUAUUUCACUGAGAAUACAGGUGGGAUCAGAAGAGAAUCUCCAAGACCUCCAAACAUCACGUCAACCAUCCUCUCCAGUGGAACACAAGAUCCAUGAAGAAGAGAUAGACUUGUUCACUCCCGCAUCUCCAGUGCCUUGGACAGCAGCUCAUCUGAGACACUCCACCAGCAUCUGCUGAAUGAAUGAACAUCAACUUGCCUGAUGACCAAACACAGUUCAC
rnacentral:lncRNA from 1 species